rnacentral:rRNA from 1 species
UGAUGAAGGAAUUUAACUGGCGCUGGCGGCAUGACUACCGCUUUAAGUGAACGGUAACAGGUCUUCGGAGUAUGACGAGUGGCGACGUGAGUAAUACAUCGGAACGUGCCCGAUCGUGGGGGAUAACGGAGCGAAAGCUUUGCUAAUACCGCAUACGAUCUACGGAUGAAAGCAGGGGACCGCAAUGCCUUGCGCGGACGGAGCGGCCGAUGGCAGAUUAGGUAGUUGGUGGGAUAAAAGCUUACCAAGCCGACGAUCUGUAGCUGGUCUGAGAGGACGACCAGCCACACUGGGACUGAGACACGGCCCAGACUCCUACGGGAGGCAGCAGUGGGGAAUUUUGGACAAUGGGCGAAAGCCUGAUCCAGCCACGCCGCGUGCAGGAUGAAGGCCUUCGGGUUGUAAACUGCUUUUGUACGGAACGAAAAGACUCCUUCUAAUAAAGGGGGUCCAUGACGGUACCGUAAGAAUAAGCACCGGCUAACUACGUGCCAGCAGCCCGAGGUAAUACGUACGGUGCAAGCGUAAUCGGAAUUACUGGGCGUAAAGCGUGCGCAGGCGGUUAUAUAAGACAGAUGUGAAGUCCCCGAGGCUCAACUGGGGAACUGCAUUUGUGACUGUAUAGUAGAAUACGGUAGAGGGGGAUGGAAUCCGGCGUGUAGCAGUGAAUGCGUACAUUGCGGGGAACACGAUGGAAAGGAAUCCUGGACUGG